UUGGGGUGUUCUAGCAGUCCUA
rnacentral:siRNA from 1 species